UACAGAGGGGGCAAGCGUUGUUCGGAAUUACUGGGCGUAAAGGGCGCGUAGGCGGCCUGCUAAGUCGAACGUGAAAUCCCCGGGCUUAACCCGGGAACUGCGUCCGAUACUGGCUGGCUUGAAUCCGGGAGAGGGAUGCGGAAUUCCAGGUGUAGCGGUGAAAUGCGUAGAUAUCUGGAGGAACACCGGUGGCGAAGGCGGCAUCCUGGACCGGUAUUGACGCUGAUGCGCGAAAGCCAGGGGGAGCAAACGGG
rnacentral:rRNA from 1 species